AUCCUUUUGUAGUUCGUAAGCGUGAUGAUUGGGUGUUCACGCCAUUGUGUGACAUGUGCCACCCUUAAACCUUGUUAUGACGUCGGCACAUUACCCGUCUGACG
rnacentral:snoRNA from 1 species